UACGAAGGGGGCUAGCGUUGCUCGGAAUCACUGGGCGUAAAGCGCACGUAGGCGGAUUGCUAAGUCAGGGGUGAAAUCCUGGAGCUCAACUCCAGAACUGCCUUUGGUACUGGCGAUCUUGAGUCCGGGAGAGGUGAGUGGAACUGCGAGUGUAGAGGUGAAAUUCGUAGAUAUUCGCAAGAACACCAGUGGCGAAGGCGGCUCGCUGGCCCGGUACUGACGCUGAGGUGCGAAAGCGUGGGGAGCAAACAGG
rnacentral:rRNA from 1 species